GUGCUCUCUUUGACUGCACAUAUCCUGAAAUUGGAGUGAUACAGAAAAGAUUAGCAUGUUCCUUGCACAAAGAUAACAUACCAAUUUAUGAAGCAUCCCAUAUGUUU